CCCUUGUUGUAAUCUGUUUUUUCUUUUAAAAAAAUUGGAUUGGUGCAGGGCAGCAAGAAUAUGCAGUCUUUACCAUUUGUAGAAGGUCUAAGCAGAAAAAAUAGGAGUCUCACCAAUUCUAGAUAAAAGUGACCUUAAUGUCUUACCAGAUAAAAAGAAUCAGUAGUGUAAAGAGAAUCAUUUAGAAAAUGCAGCAGUAGUAUAUGUUCUGGUUGAAAUCGAAUGAGAGUCUCACCAAUUACAAGGUCUAUAGUGAGUCAGACCAAUAAUGUUGGAAUUGUCACCCCAAAGAAUCCAAUUGCUGGAAUCCUACACAGGUUGCAUCUUUAUUUAUCGAAGCAUGUUCCUCACUUGAUGAAUGAAGUGGAUUUCACACAUAUAAGAUGGUGGCCCCAAAGAGCCUGUUAUAAAUGGUAUGUGUAAAACAGGUGUUUCAGAUGAUUACGGUCCUCUUGGUCCAAUGCAAAUUUCCCAUGUUGUAGUAGCUCAUGCAAUAAAAAAAUUAAAAAAAUAAAAAUUGGUGCGCGUGUGACAUCUAAUCUGUCCAUCAGUUGUGCCAGCUCAAUAUCUUGGUGUGGGAGCAAAACUUGGCAAUAUGUCCUAAGAUAUCUUUUAUUACUAUAUUGCUCAAUUUGGGUUUUGUUUUUCCAGGAAAUUUAUUAUAUGACAAACUGUUGAAUAUGCUUUCUAGAAUCCAUCAUGUAAUAACCUUAAAUGAGUUGGAGAAAUGGUCGUUUUUCUGGUU